AAAAAUUGGAUAAGACAUUACACAUAUAACAUUGUUUUUUGUCAAAGUCUGUGGUCUUAUAUAUUUUGUCUGUGGUCUUAUCUUUGUCUGUAGUCUUUUAGCAUGUAAAUAUGCUAAUAGACACUAGACUUAUGAGUCUGUUGUUAUAGCUGAGUUGUUAAAUAUAAUCUAUAACACUGGAUCUAAUACUCCAUGGUCAUAUAUAUGAUGUUAUUUUAUAAAAAUAAUAAAUUGGUGAAAUAAUAAUAAAAUUUAAAAAAUAAUUUUGUUUUUAUUAAUUAAUUUUUAGUUUUUAAAUGUAAUCUAAUCUAAUUUCCCCAAACCACCAAUCACUAGCUCUCUCUCCCGUCUGCUUUCCCCCAAAUCCCAUUCCGCUGCUCCUUUUCCAAUCACCAAACCCUAUCGAAGCCGCUGCUAUGGUAAGCGGUGGCGGCAGGCGGAUGAGUGAGAGGAAGAGGCAGAGGGUAGUUUUCUAAUUGGGGUCUUGAGAGAGAGAUUUUGGGUUUCUAUCUGGGGGUUUGACCAAUUGGGGGAUGGGGAUGGAGAAAGAGUCGGCGAAGAGAUGGAGAAGGGGGUGGCGACGCGGCAGCCGUGGAAGAGCGGUUGCGGCUGCAGUUGUUCAUGGCGAGAGAGGAGAUGGAGACCGAGAGAGUCGGGCGAGAUGUUGAGAGGGAGAGUCGACAGAUGCAGAUGAUGGUGGGGGUGAAGAACCGCUGGCGAAGCUCCGCCGGUCUUGCUGGAGGUGGUCGGCGGCUUGGGAGAGAGAAGAGAGAUUUCUGAGAGAGAGAGAGAGAGAGAGAGACGCUGGAUGUGGCCAGCCCUAGCUCGAGUUCGAUUCAGUUCCUCUUAGCACUCUUGCUCCUUCGGAUUCAGCAUGCUGCUCCACUCUGACUUCAGCUCGUCGUCUCUCCGCAAUUCUAACUAUUCACUUCCGAGGUAUUAUUUCAUCCUACUCAAUUUGUAAUUGUUGUUGAUUCCUGUUGUUUUUCGUGAUUCAUUAAUCCAUUGCUCAUCCUUGUUUUGAUUUAGCUUGAAGAAGAAAAAUUUUGCUUUUUGUUUGGAAUUUAUAUUCAGUGGAUGGUUGAAUGGCUUCCUACUUUGGUAUAUGAUGUUUGUUGUUUCAGGUUUUUGCAUUUUAAAUUGUGCAAAAAACUUCAUGUUAAAAAUUGAAUCAUUUUGCCAUUCCGUAUAUUAUUUUUCGGUUUUCUCCUUAAUUGAUUUUCUGCCAUUUAACGAUUUAUCAAAGACUAGGAUGCGUAACGUAGUUAACCAAAUACUCAUUAGUGUGGUUGUGAAUAUUGAAAUUGUGAGCAUUGAUGGGUUAAGAUUAUCUGGUAAUAGUAAGAGAUUAUCUUGAACAUACUUAUGUCAGAUAAGCCGUCAUUUAUUCUUUUGUUUUGUGGUUUAAGUUGGCCUUAGAGGUGUUAUAUCGAUUGACUAAGACUCGAAAACCUUUUGAUUUGAUGCAGAUUUAACUAUAAUUAUUGGAGCAGGUUUGGGACUUGGAGAUUUGAUAAUUUAUAAUUGUUUUUUGCUUAUUAAUGUUUCAUAUCCAACUGGCACUAGAAACCCCAGUAACACCAUAUCCGAAUAUGCAGAGAAAGUUGCCAAGAAUGUUCUUGGAGAGUUACUUUAUUGCUACUUUAACUUAGUUAUGAAUGAAGAGACAUGUUUCAUAUGGCCCAAUGAAGAUUUUGUGUUCGUAUAUUUAGGCUUCACCUCUUCAGAUACGCUUUCUUAUUAGCGUCCUAUAUACUAUAUGUUCUUCGCUUUUCCUAUACUCUUCUGUUGCAGUGUGCUAGACAAGGGUUUGCACUUGGUCUUACAAUGUUAGUUGGCAUGGUUCAUAGCAUUAAAUUAGAGUCCUUGUUAAAGCUAAUUACAACUUUGCUGGAGGUCUCUUCUUCCAUGAAGGGGGUCAGGUGAGUAUUGGUCCCUUCUCAUGAAGUCAGUAAUUGAGAUUUAUAUUUUAUUUAUGUGGAGCCUUUUAUUUAUAGGAGGUUAAAGACUGCUUACUGGGCCGUUUAUUUGCAUAUGGAGCUCUUGCAAAAUCGGGAAAGCUUACUGAAGAAUGGAUAUCAGAUAAUAGUAGUUUAUUCCUCUGUAAGUACUCUAUUAGUCUAUUAGAUCAUGCUGGGACAUAACUCGCAUAUUCUUCACAAAUUUACAUGUAACCAGUUUAUGUAUUAGUUUUAAGCUUUCCUGUGUAUCAUAUCUCCGUAUGAUUGUUCAAUUAUUGGUUUCCUACCUUGACUAGAUAUUGCCCUAUAUUUUUGUCAUGGUUUAGUUGCCUGAAGGUACUACUCGUAUUUGUUCUUAAUUUUAUUUUUUUUUUAUCACUGAUUAAGUGAUAUUAUUUCAAGUCUUUGCUGAUCUGCAUGUCUUGAAUAUUGCAGGAGUCUAGCUUCUGUCAGCCACGAGUACAUAGUGUAUGACCUGUUUUGGUUAGCCAUGCAAGAUGUUGAUUCAGCAUCAAGUCUAAUUUCGAGCAAGAAGCACAAAAGAAGUCGUAAGAGUACCCAUUCAAGUCAAAGUAUCACGAGGUAGCUCAGCUUUACAAGGGCAAAGACUUGAGUUUUUUUUGGUUGUGGUAGUUUUUUGUCAUUUUUAUUUUCUUUUGACUUUAUAUAGAACUAUUGUACUUAGCAUUUUGAUUAUCUUCGGAUGAUAAUUUUAAUACAAGUGUUAACUCAUUUGAAUGUUAGGAUUGAACUUAGUUGGUAGUGGAUCCACACAUUUAGUUUAGUUAUUGUUAGAAUUUGGUCAAAUCUUUAAGUUGUAAUGAAUAUUGAAAUUUUAUAAUGAUUAUGUUAUAAAUGAAAAUGAUUUUCUCAUGCUUUUAAAUAAAUAUUGAAUUUUCAGGAAAAAAAAAUUCUUAUAAAUACAGGAUUUAAUUGAUUUUAAAAUUAUAAAAAAGCAUGGUUUUUUUGGGACCUACGACACAACUCAAAAACUGAGGUGGUAUAUAAGAAAUAAAUUGGGUGUUUUUCUACUACGACAACAGACAAAAGCUAGUGUCGUAUACAGAAAAUACCAUAGACAAUCGGCACCUACGACACUACUCGAAAACCAUAGUGAUAUUAAUGAUACAACAACGGACUCUAUGCUCUCAAAGACCAUAUACAAUGUCUGUUGUCAUAAAUAUCUAUGACAACAGGCAAUGCCUGUGGUCUUUGAGCAUCUUUUUCUAGGCACCUACGACACUACCACUUACAACAACAGACAUUUUCUCUAAUAGACAAUAGGCAUUGCCCAAUGUCUAUUAGCUUUUUUGUAGUAGU
rnacentral:lncRNA from 1 species